CUUUAAGUGCCAAUAUUUACAAAUUCCCAAAGCCAAAACAAUGCAAAAUAUAGAUAUCUGGUCUUUUUAGGUGCAUUAGUUUGGUAGUUUAAUGUUUAGAAACAUUGAUAAAUACUAAACUAAUAUUUCAGAACAGAUACCUGCAUAUUUUUCAUGUAAAGUGAACAUUCUAUGCCGAAAAAUAAGAAUUAUUGACACCCUAAGACAAUUUUAAUUAUUUCAAUAUCAAAUCUAUCACUAAUUUAUGAGUUAAACAUAGGUUGCUCACAGUGUAAAAAUUUUAGUGAAGUAAUUAGUGUAAUUAAUUAAUUAUUCCAUAAUUGAAAUGCAGGUUAACAAACUUCUAUAUAUAAAAGUUUAAAAAAAUGUCCUUCAUUCAAACUGUGAACUCUAAGCCUAUAAAACUCUUCAAAGAACCCCAAGAUAUCAAACAAUCUUUUAUUUAGCUAAACCUACCCCCUACCUUCACUCUUAUUCAUACUUAAAUACUCAGUAUGCUUACAGCUUGGAAAAAAGCUAGAAAGCCUUAAUGGAUCACUGAUUUUAACUAAAGAGGUAGGUGCAUAUCCCUUAUAAAUGAAUUCAAAACAAUUUUUGUU
rnacentral:lncRNA from 1 species